rnacentral:misc_RNA from 1 species
GAUGAAGAACGCAGCGAAAUGCGAUAAUUAAUGUGAAUUGCAGAAUUUAGUGAAUCAUCGAAUCUUUGAACGCACAUUGCGCCCCUUGGUAUUCCAUGGGGCAUGCCUGUUCGAGCGUCAUUUGUACCCUCAAGCUUUGCUUGGUGUUGGGCGUCUUGUCUUGUAUUAGACUCGCCUUAAAGUCAUUGGCAGCCAGUGUUUUUGGUAGUAAGCGCAGCACAUUUUGCGUCUUAGUCCUUGAAUCGUGGCAUCCAUGAAGCCUUUUUUCACUUUUGACCUCGGAUCAGGUAGGGAUACCCGCUGAACUUAAGCAUAUCAAUAAGCGGAGGA